UACGAAGGGGGCGAGCGUUGUUCGGAUUUACUGGGCGUAAAGGGCGCGCAGGCGGCAGAUCAAGUCAGAUGUGAAAGCCCCGGGCUUAACCUGGGAACUGCAUUUGGGACUGGUUUGCUAGAGAUCGGGAGAGGAGAGUGGAAUUCCCGGUGUAGCGGUGAAAUGCGCAGAUAUCGGGAAGAACACCCGUGGCGAAGGCGGCUCUCUGGGACGGUACUGACGCUGAGACGCGAAAGCGUGGGGAGCGAACAGG
rnacentral:rRNA from 1 species